rnacentral:rRNA from 1 species
GAUUAACGCUGGCGGCGUGCAUAACACAUGCAAGUCGAACGAUGAAACUUUAAUGACCCCUUCGGGGAGAAUUAAAGCGGCUUAGUGGCGAACGGGUGAGUAACGCGUGAUUAACCUGCCUUACACAAGGGGUUAGCCUUUGGAAACGAAGAAUAAUACCCUAUCACACCAUACAAGCACAUGCAAUUAUGGUCAAAGUGAUAGCGGUGUAAGAUGGACUUGCGUCUGAUUAGCUAGUUGGUGAGAUAAACGCCCACCAAGGCAACGAUCAGUAGCCGGCUUGAGAGAGUGGACGGCCACAUUGGGACUGAGACACGGCCCAGACUCCUACGGGAGGCAGCAGUGGGGAAUUUUGCACAAUGGGGGAAACCCGGAUGCAGCGACGCCGCGUGAUUUAGAAGGCCUUCGGGUUGUAAAAAUCUUUUGUAUAGGAAGAAAAUGACAGUACUAUACGAAUAAGGUCCGGCUAAUUACGUG